rnacentral:rRNA from 1 species
GAUGAACGCUGGCGGCGUGCCUAAUACAUGCAAGUCGAGCGAACAGACGAGGAGCUUGCUCCUCUGACGUUAGCGGCGGACGGGUGAGUAACACGUGGAUAACCUACCUAUAAGACUGGGAUAACUUCGGGAAACCGGAGCUAAUACCGGAUAAUAUAUUGAACCGCAUGGUUCAAUAGUGAAAGACGGUUUUGCUGUCACUUAUAGAUGGAUCCGCGCCGCAUUAGCUAGUUGGUAAGGUAACGGCUUACAAAGGCAACGAUGCGUAGCCGACCUGAGAGGGUGAUCGGCAACACUGGAACUGAGACACGGUCCAGACUCCUACGGGAGGCAGCAGUAGGGAAUCUUCCGCAAUGGGCGAAAGCCUGACGGAGCAACGCCGCGUGAGUGAUGAAGGUCUUCGGAUCGUAAAACUCUGUUAUUAGGGAAGAACAAAUGUGUAAGUAACUAUGCACGUCUUGACGGUACCUAAUCAGAAAGCCACGGCUAACUACGUG